rnacentral:rRNA from 1 species
UUAACAAAAACAUGUCUUUUUGAAUUUAAAUAUAAAGUCUAAUCUGCCCACUGAUAAAUUAUUUAAUGGCCGCAGUAUUUUAACUGUGCAAAGGUAGCAUAAUAAUUAGUUUUUUAAUUGAAGGCUUGUAUGAAUGAUUGGACGAGAUAUAAGCUGUCUCAUAAAAAAUUUUUUAGAAUUUAAUUUUUUAGUAAAAAAGCUAAAAUAAAUUUAAAAGACGAGAAGACCCCGUAGAUCUUUAUAUUUUUUUUUAUUAUUAUUAUUAUUUAGUUUUUUUAUAAAUAUAAUAAUUAAAAAUAUUUUGUUGGGGUGACAUUGAAAUUUAAUAAACUUUCAAAAUUUAUUAACAUUAAUUUAUGAUUUUAUGAUCCUUUAUUAUUGAUUAAAAAUUUAAGUUACCUUGGGGAUAACAGCGUAAUUAUUUUGGAGAGUUCUUAUCGAUAAAAUAGAUUGCGACCUCGAUGUUGGAUUAAGAUUAAUUUUGGGUGUAGUAGUUCAAAAUAUUAAGUCUGUUCGACUUUUAAUUUCUUACGUGAUCUG